AGAGUUUGAUCCCGGCUCAGGAUGAACGCUGGCGGCGUGUUUAAGGCAUGCAAGUCGAACGACGUGUUCCCGCAAGGGAAUUACGAGUGGCAAACGGGAGAGUAACACCUUGGUAACUCACCUCUAAGACGGGGAUAGCUUCUCGAAAGAGAAAUUAAUACCCGAUGGUCAUGCGGGGACGAAAGUCAUUCGCAUGUAAAUUUCGCAAGAAGCUUGGAGAGAGGCCUAGGUCCUAUCAGCUAGUUGGUGAGGUAAAAGCUCACCAAGGCGACGACGGGUAGGGGGCGUGAGAGCGCGACCCCCCUCACUGGGACUGAGACACUGCCCAGACUCCUACGGGAGGCUGCAGUCAAGAAUCUUCCACAAUGGCCGAAAGGCUGAUGGAGCGACGCCGCGUGCAGGAAGAAGCCCUUCGGGGUGUAAACUGCUUUUCUCAGGGACGAAUUCGUGACGGUACCUGAGGAAUAAGAGGUUGCUAACUCUGUGCCAGCAGCAGCGGUAAUACAGAGACCUCAAGCGUUAUCCGGAAUUACUGGGCGUAAAGCGUCCGUAGGUGGGUUGGCAAGUUAGUGGUUAAAUCCUGAGGCUUAACUUCAGGUCUGCCGCUAAUACUAUCAAUCUAGAGGUCGGGAGAGGCAAGCGGAACUGCCGGUGUAGUCAUAAUAAGCGCUGAUAUCGGCAGGAACACCAAAGGCAAAGGCAGCUUGCUAGAACGAAUCUGACACUCAAGGACGAAAGCGUGGGGAGCGAAUAGGAUUAGAUACCCUAGUAGUCCACGCCCUAAACUAUGUGUACUAGGUAUUUGGAGUAUCGACCCUUCAGGUGCCGUUGAAAAAAGCUAACGCGUUAAGUACACCGCCUGGGUAGUACGGCCGCAAGGCUAAAACUCAAAGGAAUAGACGGGGACCCGCACAAGCAGAGGAUCAUGCGGUUUAAUUCGAUGGUACGCGAGGAACCUUACCUGGGUUUGACAUCUAGCUGCAAGCCCCCGGAAACGGGGGACGCCUUCGAGGGUGCUAGACAGGUGCUGCAUGGUUGCCGUCAGCUCGUGCCGUGAGGUGUACCGUUAAGUCGGGUAACGAGCGCAACCCCUAUUCUGUGUUAAAUUUACACAGGAGACUGCCCGCUUAAGUGGGAGGAAGGUGGGGACGACGUCAAAUCAGCAUGGCCCUUACAUCCAGGGCAACACGCAUGAUACAAUGGCCGAUACAGAGGGUUGCUAAGCCGCGAGGCGGAGCCAAUCCCAUAAAAUCGGCCCCAGUUCAGAUUGAAGGCUGCAACUCGCCUUCAUGAAGUCGGAUUUGCUAGUAAACGCGCAUCAUAACGGCGCGUUGAAUACGUUCUCGGGUCUUGUACUCACCGCCCGUCACACCACGAAAGUUGAUAGAGCCCAAAGGUCCCCUUAAAAGGAACUAAGGCAAGAUCAAUGAUCAGGGUGAAGUCGUAACAAGGCA
rnacentral:rRNA from 1 species